UAAACUGAAGAGUUUGAUCAUGGCUCAGAUUGAACGCUGGCGGCAGGCCUAACACAUGCAAGUCGAGCGCGAAAACACUUCGGUGUGAGUAGAGCGGCGGACGGGUGAGUAAUGCUUGGGAAUCUACCUAGUAGUGGGGGAUAACGUGUGGAAACGCACGCUAAUACCGCAUACGUCCUACGGGAGAAAGCAGGGGAUCUUCGGACCUUGCGCUAUUAGAUGAGCCCAAGUCGGAUUAGCUAGUUGGUGGGGUAAUGGCUCACCAAGGCUACGAUCCGUAGCUGGUCUGAGAGGAUGAUCAGCCACACUGGGACUGAGACACGGCCCAGACUCCUACGGGAGGCAGCAGUGGGGAAUAUUGCACAAUGGGCGAAAGCCUGAUGCAGCCAUGCCGCGUGUGUGAAGAAGGCUCUAGGGUUGUAAAGCACUUUCAGUAGGGAGGAACAGCUUAAGACUAAUACUCUUGAGCCUUGACGUUACCUACAGAAGAAGCACCGGCAAACUCCGUGCCAGCAGCCGCGGUAAUACGGAGGGUGCGAGCGUUAAUCGGAAUUACUGGGCGUAAAGCGCGCGUAGG
rnacentral:rRNA from 1 species